rnacentral:lncRNA from 1 species
ACCACUUGCAGUCUGAUCAUGACAGAAACGAUCACCUUCCACAUUCCUGUGCUGGGAGGUUUCACUUCUGCUUCUCCAGCUGUAAACAUGCUUUCUUUCCCCUACUUCCUCUACCACCAACGCACAGCGAAGUAGCUGAUUCAUCGCAUCAGACACAAAACUCCAACUCAUUUCAGAAUUCGAAACUUCACCAGAGAAAGACCCCGUGGCGACCGACUGCUUUCCAAGAGCAAAGGUGUCUCCCAUCUCAAAAGCCACCACCACGCCUGGGACCUCUAGUCCUCGGGAAAGGCUGUCGCCAGGAGAUCCUGAAGGUGACGCCCCCUCCUGCCAGGACCUGUGGGAAGCCAGGUCCAGGACUCAGCAUUCUAGCCUCUGGCUGGGCUCCGCCCCUCAGCCAAUGUGAGGAGUCCACCAGCUGGCUCCCCUCUGCCUCUUCUUUGAGACUGAGGGAUUUCUAAAUACCCUGUAUGCCCACUGGGAUGUUGCAAGGCUGUACUGAUACUUGAAAUGUGCUUUGUAAACUGUAAAGAGCAAAUAGCUUUAAGCGCUCAGUGUUGGGUACCACUGUCCUUGGGCUACACUUGGAAAGAAACAGAGAAUGCUGAGCUUUAGCUGCACAGGGCAGCUGGGGAAGAAUGUGUGGCUUUUGUUUUCCCCAGUGAAUGAGAAGGCAGGAGCUAGUGCGCCUUCAUUACUUCCCCUCCUCUGAGCCCUGAGGGAGGGAAUUGAUCUCGUAGGCCUUUUUCCAUCUUUAAUAUCUGUGCCUACGUGAUUCCCUCUGUUGCACAGGAAUGAUUUCUCUGCCUUCUCAGUGUUUACACCUUUCAAAGCUUGUAAUCCUGUUCUGUCUCUGCUCUGCCACUUUGCAGCUGGGCAAGUUUCUCAGUAGACCACGAACCUCUGUGUGGGGGCACGAAAGAGAGAGGUGUUGAAUCAGAUCUGGGGGAGCGAUGCCUGUCUGCCUCCAUUAUCACUCUUAAGGAAGACCAAACAGGCAUUAAAAUAAUGGCGUGUCAAUGUAGGUACAUGAACUGCAACCAGCAGAGGACUCUGG